UCCAGGCCUGUAACUACUUCUGGUUUUGAACCUUGCUUUACAGAAUGCUCACCAUGAUGUAAGAAACUGAGAACUCAAGCUUCUUUAGGUUCCAGUCCACCUAAGUACAUAAAAACAUUCAUUCAGCUGUUUGUCCUGAAUUCACACUCGGGGUCCCCCCUAGAGCAGCUCAAGGCCAGCUGUGCCUUCAGCUGGGGUUUUUGCUUUUGCUUUCUGAAGUACCAAUACCAGAUCCUUCCCGCUCAGCCCUUGGCAGUUCCUCUUUUCAAGGCCAUUUCUGCUCUUCGUCCGAUAUUACUGCCAGCACAGGAGUUUGAGUAAGCCCAUCUGGAAGCCAGCUUUGCAGACUCCCAGAGCAGCAAGCAAUACUGGCAAAG